CAAAGCACCAAAGACGACCCCUCACAGCAGCAGCAACUCCUGGGUUCCAACACAAGCACCGGAGUCAGUGGCCGCCAAAAGCGAAGUUGAGCCUUCAGCGCAGCAAAACCACUCUUACACAACCCCAAGCACCCUGACGGACCUCCUGCACCCGCCCCAGCUCGCUUGGACCAUGUCACCGAACCUCACUUUUUUCCACUUUU
rnacentral:ribozyme from 1 species